AGCGAACGCUGGCGGCAGGCCUAACACAUGCAAGUCGAACGAACCUUUCGGGGUUAGUGGCGGACGGGUGAGUAACACGUGGGAACGUGCCUUUAGGUUCGGAAUAACACAGGGAAACUUGUGCUAAUACCGAAUGUGCCCUUCGGGGGAAAGAUUACUCGCCUUUAGAACGGCCCGCGUCUGUUUAGCUAGUUGGUUGAGGUAAUGGCUCACCAAGGCGACGAUCAGUAGCUGGUCUGAGAGGAUGAUCAGCCACAUUGGGACUGAGACACGGCCCAAACUCCUACGGGAGGCAGCAGUGGGGAAUCUUGCGCAAUGGGCGAAAGCCUGACGCAGCCAUGCCGCGUGAAUGAUGAAGGUCUGAGGAUUGUAAAAUUCUUUCACCGGGGACGAUAAUGACGGUACCCGAAGAAGAAGCCCCGGCUAACUUCGUG
rnacentral:rRNA from 1 species